rnacentral:rRNA from 1 species
AGAGUUUGAUCCUGGCUCAGGAUGAACGCUGGCGGCGCGCCUAAUACAUGCAAGUCGAGCGACGAAACCGAAGUGGGUAACCACUUCGGCUGAAAGCGGCGAACGGGUGAGUAACACGUGGGUAAUGUGCCCCGAACUCUGGAAUAACAACGGGAAACCGUUGCUAAUGCCGGAUGACCCCUGUAGAUCGCAUGUUCAGCAGGGCAAAGUUUUUCGGUUCGGGAUCAGCCCGCGGCCUAUCAGCUUGUUGGUGGGGUAACGGCCUACCAAGGCAGUGACGGGUAGCUGGCGUGAGAGCGUGGCCAGCCACACUGGGACUGAGACACGGCCCAGACUCCUACGGGAGGCAGCAGUAGGGAAUCUUGCGCAAUGGGCGAAAGCCUGACGCAGCGACGCCGCGUGAGGGAUGACGGCUUUCGGGUUGUAAACCUCUUUCAGCAGGGACGAAGCCUCACGGUGACGGUACCUGCAGAAGAAGCCCCGGCUAACUACGUGCCAGCAGCCGCGGUAAUACGUAGGGGGCAAGCGUUAUCCGGAUUUAUUGGGCGUAAAGCGCGCGUAGGCGGCCGACCACGUCGGAUGUGAAAGCUUAGGGCUCAACCCUGAGAGGCCAUUCGAUACGGGUCGGCUAGAGGCAGGUAGGGGAGAAUGGAAUUCCUGGUGUAGCGGUGAAAUGCGCAGAUAUCAGGAGGAACACCGGUGGCGAAGGCGGUUCUCUGGGCCUGUUCUGACGCUGAGGUGCGAAAGCUGGGGGAGCAAACAGGAUUAGAUACCCUAGUAGUCC